AAGCUGGAAUCGCUAGUAAUCGCGAAUCAGAAUGUCGCGGUGAAUACGUUCCCGGGUCUUGUACACACCGCCCGUCACACCAUGGGAGUCGGAAAUGCCCGAAGUCGAGUGACCCAACCACAACGUGAACUUCGUUCGCGUGGAGGGAGCUGCCGAAGGUGGAGCCGGUAACUGGGGUGAAGUCGUAACAAGGUACC
rnacentral:rRNA from 1 species